CCCGGCCCUGCGCAGACCCGGGUAGCGUUUCUUGCAGUGCGCAUGCACUGACCGUAUCGUUGUCGACGUCUCCGAGGCAGAUGGCGUGCGGGAAGAGGCUUCCGCUGAACUCCAGGGCUACGCGCUGCACCCCUAUGAAUGAAAUUGUAAAAGAAACAAACAAAAAAACUAAUUCAGCAUGAAAUUGAUGAGGAUGACCCUGCUUCUUGCCAUGUGUCCUGGCCUGACCCAGUUCUCUGAAAUCAUACUCUGACCCAGCUCUCCACAAUGCCUUAGUUUUAUCUUCCUCAUCACUUGGCCUCUUGUUCUUGACCUUUGUGUGUGGCAGGUUUUAUUUAUUUUUGGAGAGAGAAGGAGAGAAACAUCAAUGUGAGAGAAACAUCGGCUGCCUCUCGUUAUGCCAUCCAACUGGGGACUGAACCUGCAACCAGGCAUGUGCCCUGACCGGGGAUUUAACAGGUGAUGUUUUUCUUUGCAAGAAGAAGCCCAAUCAGCUGACAGGGCGAUAAGUAGUUCUUCCUUGUCAGUGAAGAACAUGAGGAAAUGAGUUUAAAACAGAGGAUGAUGAACAUGUUUUAGAACUAGAUAGAGGUGUUGGAUGUACAGCGUUGUAAUUAGACUAAGUGCCACUGAAUUUUAAAAUGGCUUUUUGUUAUAUAAAUUUCACCUCAAUAAAAAUAAAACCA